rnacentral:tRNA from 1 species
GGCAUGGUGGCCAAGUGGUAAGGCGUUGGUCAUGUAAACCGAAGAUCAUGGGUUCAAAUCCCUUUUGUGCCU